ensembl:piRNA 21ur-7119 ncRNA
UGAUUUUUAUUUUGUCUGAUU